rnacentral:rRNA from 1 species
CCUACGGGGGGCAGCAGUGAGGAAUAUUGGUCAAUGGACGGAAGGCUGAACCAGCCAAGCCGCGUGAAGGACGAAGGUGCCAAGCAUUGUAAACUUCUUUUGUCAAGGGACAAAAUCAGGCUCGAGAGCCUGACCGAGGGUACUUGAAGAACAAGCAUCGGCUAACUCCGUGCCAGCAGCCGCGGUAAUACGGAGGAUGCGAGCGUUAUCCGGAUUUAUUGGGUUUAAAGGGUGCGUAGGCGGGCUGUUAAGUCAGCGGUAAAAGCCCGGGGCUCAACCCCGGCGAGCCGUUGAAACUGGCUGUCUUGAGAUGUCGAGAGGUAUGCGGAAUGCGCAGUGUAGCGGUGAAAUGCUUAGAUAUUGCGCAGAACUCCGAUUGCGAAGGCAGCAUACCGGCGGCGAUCUGACGCUGAGGCACGAAAGCGUGGGUAGCGAACAGGAUUAGAUACCCGGGUAGUC